rnacentral:rRNA from 3 species
UUCCCAUACCGAACACGGAAGUUAAGCUCUUCAGCGCCGAUGGUAGUUGGGGGUUUCCCCCUGUGAGAGUAGGACGUUGCUAGGC